CGCAUGUUCUUCUCUCUGUUCGCUCCCACUCCGAGGAAAACAGCAGCGGUCAACACUUGUCGCGUUCGAAAUUCUUGGGAAAAGUUAAAGAAGAGCAAGUUUCAUCUCCAAACACUGAUGACAAAGCUGAGUUUUUCCACAGUGACUCCACAAAGUGAAAAUCAUUUUAACAAGGGUUUGUUUGCUAAACUCAUGAGCUUCAAAUGCACUAACAAAUAAAGUGCUAUACUAAAAACUGAA